CUUUCAGUGAUAAUUCAAUAAUUUUAUUUUUUUUCUCUUUUUGGCAGUAUAGCUUCUGUUUAUCUUCUGGUUUCAUGGAUUUUUUUCUCUUGUCUGAUUUGCUUAUUUCUGUUGUGUAUUUUGACAAGUUCUGGUUGCUAGUUGUCAUUAUUUGUUUGUUUUUCUUUCUUUCUUUUUUGGACAGGGUAAUUCUGCAUGACCUGGAAUUUUAUGUGGACAUGGUUGACUUUGAACUCACAAAGACCUGCCUGCUUCUGCUCUUCCUCUAUGUUUUUUUUUAAAAGAUAACAUCUGAGGGCAUUAUGUAGUCCAAACCUGAUAUGUAGUUGAGGAUGUCCUUGAAUCAGGAACUUCCUAAGUCUACCUCUCAAGUGCUGGGAGGAACCACAUAUCACCACACCUGGUUCAUUUUGUUGUUCAUUGCAAGGGUGUCUCACUGAGAAGCUUGUCCGUUUGGCUAGGCUAGCUGCCAAUGAACUUCAGGAUCACCAGGAACGCCUCAUCCGUCUCUCUCCAUCCAUCAGCCCAAGGCUGGAGUUACAAGUGUGCUCCACUAUGCCGAGCACUUUAUGUAGGUUCUUGAGAUCUGAAUGCAGGUUCUAGUACCUUCACAACAGACACUUUGUUGAUCCAGGCAUCCACUCUCUCCUCGAAUAUGAACUAUUGACCGAGGGUAAUAAACACGUGUCAACACUGGGCAGCCAAGUGCAGCACAGAUACCACCCUGGUGGGGGAUGUAGUAGAAGAGGGAUGUGCAUAUGCCAGAAUGGGGGAGCUGGGGACUCUGCACCUUCUCCUCAGGUUUGCAUUUAGUAUAAAAAUGCUCUUAAAAAAGAAGAAAUCUUCAGAGAAACCUAUUGGAAAGUACCGUGUGCUAGGGCAGUAUACUUAAAAAAUGUGGUCUGUGCUUGGGGUACUGAUCAGUAGAUUGUUUGUUACUGUGAGAUAAGGUAUUUGUUCUAGAUGUAAAUCAGUCUAUUGUUUCCUGUACUCAUAGAGUCUUUCCAUAAAAAGAUAAACAGUU